rnacentral:rRNA from 1 species
CUUGGUCAUUUAGAGGAAGUAAAAGUCGUAACAAGGUACUGGUAGGUGAACCUGCCAGUGGAUCAUUACUAUGGGCUACGGCCCUUAAGAUAUCAACCCUGACUUUUGGAAGUACCGUCCGUUUCCUCGGCAGGCCCGCCUGCCAGCGAGGACCCUUUAAAACCUUUCAAUCGUAGCAGUGUUUGUCUGAAAAAUACGCAAAUGAAUUAAAACUUUCAACAAUGGAUCUCUUGAUUCCGGCUUCGAUGAAGAACGCAGCGAAAUGCGAUAACUAGUGUGAAUUGCAGAAUUCAGUGAAUCAUCGAGUCUUUGAACGCACAUUGCGCCCCUUGGUAUUCCAUGGGGCAUGCCUGUUCGAGCGUCAUUUGUACCUUCAAGCUUUGCUUGGUGUUGGGUGUUUGUCUCGCCUCUGCGUGUAGACUCGCCUUAAAACAAUUGGCAGCCGGCGUAUUGAUUUCGGAGCGCAGUACAUCUCGCGCUUUGCACUCAUAACGACGACGUCCAAAAGUACAUUUUUACACUCUUGACCUCGGAUCAGGUAGGGAUACCCGCUGAACUUAAGCAUAUCAAUAAGCGGAGGA